GACAACUGAUUCUGAGGAAGUCACCCAUGGAGUGAAAAUACACUUGUCGUUGUGGAUGGAGCUGCAGCAGAUGACCCAAUGCCAGCUGACAAUGUGGACGUUGCCCUUGUGAAAGAAGAGCAGCCUCUCCCUCCUCUUCCUCAGCACUCCCACAGCAGAACGGCCGUGAGGGGAUAAUGAAGAAGAGCGUGGACAUGAAGAUGGCAACAGUCCCGUCUGUCACAAACCUGAAGGACACACACAGUGAAAGAGUACAGUGGCCCAGCCUGGCAUGAAGCCUGGUUCUCUGGUGAACCACAUCACCACCAGCAGGACAAAGAUGGUCAGCACAGCCCCCUCGGCGAAGGUCAUGCUCCCCAG